AUACCACAUAAAAAUACCUCUAUACCCAGGCAGUGAGCCAGGAUUUGGUAGCUGGUGCUGAGAGAAGACCCUUGAUUACAUCUUUGCCCUAGAACCCUAUCAGUGGCAACUGUUACUCAAUAGGACAGAG
rnacentral:snoRNA from 1 species